rnacentral:misc_RNA from 1 species
UCACAGUUUGCACUGGCAGUCUUGUUAGAGUUCCCGACACUACUCGCUGGCAACUAACAACAGGGGUUGCGCUCGUUAUAGGACUUAACCUGACACCUCACGGCACGAGCUGACGACAACCAUGCAGCACCUUGUAAUCUGUCCGAAGAAAAGCCUGUUUCCAAGCCUGUCAGACUACAUUUAAGCCUUGGUAAGGUUCCUCGCGUAUCAUCGAAUUAAACCACAUGCUCCACCGCUUGUGCGGGCCCCCGUCAAUUCCUUUGAGUUUCAAACUUGCGUUCGUACUCCCCAGGUGGGAUACUUAUCACUUUCGCUUAGCCACUGAGAUUGCUCCCAACAGCUAGUAUCCAUCGUUUACGGCGUGGACUAC